AGGAGACAAUAAAAUAGUUUUGAGGUAAAGUAAAACACUGCUCACCAGCCCAUUCUGAAUCUGAAUUUAAAUUAUUUAGACAUUAUAAUGGACAUACUGUAUAAAUGUUUUAAUUACAGCACUUGUGUGGCCUGCGAAUCAUUUAUGAUUAACAAAUUACAAAGCAUAUGUGGCCCCCAAGACAAAAUUCGGAUGUGGUUAGGGGCUGGGUCAAAAUGCUGAUGUGGCCCCCAAGACAAAAAGUUUGCCCCCCUCUGGUUUACAGCGUAGACGAAGUGUUCAUGGUCAAUGUAACGAGUCAUACCAUGACACCACCACCACUACCGCCCUUCACACAGUGGCGUAUUGAAGCAGGGUAUCUGUGCAAGGUCUGUUAAGCCUGGGAUUUAGUUAUAACAAUGGCGUAUUGAAGCAGGGUAUCUGUGCAAGGUCUGUUAAGCCUGGGAUUUAGUUAUAACAAUGGCGUAUUGAAGCAGGGUAUCUGUGCAAGGUCUGUUAAGCCUGGGAUUUAGUUAUAACAAUGGCGUAUUGAAGCAGGGUAUCUGUGCAAGGUCUGUUAAGCCUGGGAUUUAGUUAUAACAAUGGCGUAUUGAAGCAGGGUAUCUGUGCAAGGUCUGUUAAGCCUGGGAUUUAGUUAUAACAAUGGCGUAUUGAAGCAGGGUAUCUGUGCAAGGUCUGUUAAGCCCAUGAUUUAGUUAUAACAGUGGCGUAUUGGAGCAGGGUAUCUGUGCAAGGUCUGUUAAGCCGAUGAUUUAGUUGUAACAGUCUGCUGAGCCCAUGUGGCUUUAAUCAGGGGCCUGUUUGUGUCGAGGCUCAGGCUGGGUCUCCAAUGGCACCCUAUCCCCCUAUUCAGGGACCUGCUUUUGUGAACUACCUGGUCAGAUGAAUGGCACUACGUAGGGGGUUAUGGUGGCAUUAUGGAGGCAGGCUGGAGUCUUGUGGUAUGUGUACACACACACACACACCCCCACUCCCCCCUCGGGCGAGGGUGGAGAGACGAGGAGGGGAGACGGGGGAGAGAGGACGGGGUGGCAGGUUAACGAUGAAGGAGGGAGACGGG
ensembl:lncRNA